CCUACGGGGGGCUGCAGUAAGGAAUAUUGGUCAAUGGAGGAAACUCUGAACCAGCCAUCCCGCGUGAAGGAUGAAGGGGCUCUGCCUUGUAAACUUCUUUUGUCUGGGGCGAAAAAGCUCGAUUUAUCGAGAACUGACGGUACCAGAAGAAUAAGCACCGGCUAACUCCGUGCCAGCAGCCGCGGUAAUACGGAGGGUGCCGGCGUCAUCGGGAAGCACGGGGUUGAAGGGGUGCGUAGACGGCAGUGGAUAAAGGCUGUGGCUUAACCAUGGAAUUGCCAUUGAUACUGCAGAGCUUGAAUGAGGUUGAGGUGGGCGGAAUGUGACAUGUAGCGGUGAAAUGCUUAGAUAUGUCAUGGAACACCGAUUGCGAAGGCAGCUGACUGGACCUAUAUUGACGCUGAGGCACGAAAGCGUGGGGAGCGAACAGGAUUAGAUACCCGUGUAGUC
rnacentral:rRNA from 1 species